rnacentral:tRNA from 1 species
GCGGGAAUAGCUCAGUUGGUAGAGCACGACCUUGCCACAGGUCGGGGUCGCGAGUUCGAGUCUCGUUUCCCGCUCCA